GGUUAUGGCUCAGCGGUAGAGAGCUCGCUUGGCAUGAGGGAGGCCCUGGGUUCGAUCCUCAGCACUG
rnacentral:tRNA from 1 species